rnacentral:rRNA from 1 species
AUUGAACGCUGGCGGCAUGCCUUACACAUGCAAGUCGAACGGCAGCACGGGGCAACCUGGUGGCGAGUGGCGAACGGGUGAGUAAUGCAUCGGAACGUGCCAUUGAGUGGGGGAUAACGUAGCGAAAGUUGCGCUAAUACCGCAUAUUCUGUGAGCAGGAAAGCAGGGGGACCGCAAGGCCUUGCGCUCUUCGAGCGGCCGAUGUCAGAUUAGCUAGUUGGUGAGGUAACGGCUUUCCAAGGCGACGAUCUGUAGCGGGUCUGAGAGGAUGAUCCGCCACACUGGAACUGAGACACGGUCCAGACUCCUACGGGAGGCAGCAGUGGGGAAUUUUGGACAAUGGGCGCAAGCCUGAUCCAGCCAUGCCGCGUGAGUGAAGAAGGCCCUCGGGUUGUAAAGCUCUUUCGGCCGGGAAGAAAUCGCAUGGGUUAAUACCCUGUGUGGAUGACGGUACCGGAAUAAGAAGCACCGGCUAACUACGUGCCAGCAGCC